rnacentral:rRNA from 1 species
AUCGAACGCUGGCGGCAAGCCUAACACAUGCAAGUCGAGCGGUUGACGGGAGCUUGCUCCCUGAUUCAGCGGCGGACGGGUGAGUAAUGCCUAGGAAUCUGCCUAUUAGUGGGGGACAACGUUUCGAAAGGAACGCUAAUACCGCAUACGUCCUACGAGAGAAAGCAGGGGACCUUCGGGCCUUGCGCUAAUAGAUGAGCCUAGGUCGGAUUAGCUUGUUGGUGAGGUAAUGGCUCACCAAGGCGACGAUCCGUAACUGGUCUGAGAGGAUGAUCAGUCACACUGGAACUGAGACACGGUCCAGACUCCUACGGGAGGCAGCAGUGGGGAAUAUUGGACAAUGGGCGAAAGCCUGAUCCAGCCAUGCCGCGUGUGUGAAGAAGGUCUUCGGAUUGUAAAGCACUUUAAGUUGGGAGGAAGGGUUGUAGAUUAAUACUCUGCAAUUUUGACGUUACCGACAGAAUAAGCACCGGCUAACUCUGUGCCAGCCGCCGCAGUAAUAC